rnacentral:rRNA from 1 species
CCUACGGGUGGCAGCAGUGAGGAAUAUUGGUCAAUGGACGAAAGUCUGAACCAGCCAAGUCGCGUGAAGGAUGACUGCCCUAUGAGUUGUAAACUUCUUUUAUACAGGAGUAAAACGAGGCACGUGUGCCUUUUUGCAUGUACUUUAUGAAUAAGGAUCGGCUAACUCCGUGCCAGCAGCCGCGGUAAUACGGAGGAUCCGAGCGUUAUCCGGAUUUAUUGGGUUUAAAGGGAGCGUAGAUGGGUUGUUAAGUUAGUUGUGAAAGUUUGCGGCUCAACCGUAAAAUUGCAAUUGAUACUGGUAGUCUUGAGUAUAGUUGAGGUAGGCGGAAUUCGUGGUGUAGCGGUGAAAUGCUUAGAGAUCACGAAGAACACCGAUUGCGAAGGCAGCUUACUAAACUAUGACUGACAUUGAUGCUCGAAAGUGUGGGGAGCAAACAGGAUUAGAUACCCUAGUAGUC